rnacentral:lncRNA from 1 species
GGCUAAAUUGUGAAAGAUGGUAAAGUGUGCAUAAAGUUGUGAUUUUGUGAAAUUGAGGGCUGUUAUGAGCAUGAAAUAUGAUUUAGUGAAGUUUGAAAUUUAAAAAUUUAGUGAAUUUUAUUUUUACGAGCUUAGGGACAAAAGUGGAAUUUUUGAAAAGUUAUGGGGAAAAAUGUAAAUGUGUCAAAAUGUUGUGUAUGAAUUGUAUUUGAAUGGAAUAUUGAUAAAAUGUAUUAAAUUGUGUUAAUAUAGAUCAAGAAAGAAGAAAUAGUGCAAGUGAUCGGGGAAAAGAGAAAGUUAUCGACUAAAUUACAAAAAUAGUCGUUUUGCAUCCGAGGUAAGUUAUAUGUAAAUAAUAGUUAUAUUUGUAUAAAUUGUGAAUUAUAUUUGAUAUGUGAAUUAAUAUUGAAUGUGGAAGGAAAAUUGUUCAUGAAUUAUUCAAGUGAUAAAGUGUUGAAAAUAAAGUGUUAAGUAUAAAUUCCCGGUUGAACUUAGGAAUAGAAUUGGAUACAAGUGACAUGUCACUAGAGACCAGUGUUACAGUGUUACAGUGUUACAGUGAGUCCCGGGUGCUGGGUGAUCUAGCAUGUGUUGCAGACACCUGACAGCUUGUGUGAGCAGGCCCGUGGACAUUUCCAGUGUUAUUGAUCAGUGGUAGCUUCGGCUACAUAUCAGUGGUAGCUUCGGCUACAUAUCAGUGUGGCACUUAUGUGCUAAAUCUCUACGUAUCCGUGUAUAUUCCAACUGUUCAACGGGAUUAAUAAUGAAUUAAAGUGAAUAUGAAAUGUUAAGUGUGAAAAUGUAUAUGCAAGUGAAUUGGUAAGAUUGUGCAUGUGUAAGUGAUUGAAAUUGCUAAGAAAUGUUUUGAUUAGUUAUAUGUUAAAAGUGUUAAUUAUUAAAUGAGUAAUUAUUGUUUACAUGUAACUUACUAAGCUAUUUAUAGCUUACACAUCUCUUUCUUUCCUUUGUUUUAUAGUGAUUUGAACUUGAUCGAAUAGUGGACCGUCGGAGCUCGUAUCACACUAUCAUAGCCAUCUCGGUAUUAUGUGCUUUUCAAAAUGUUUAAACUAUGGCAUGUAUAGAGUCUUAAUCAUUUUGAGCAUGUUCAAAUGAUAUGGCUAAGAUUAGCUAUUGAAAUGGUUAGUAAAGAUUAUGUUUUGGU